rnacentral:misc_RNA from 1 species
GAGCAAUUGUGUGUCCUGACCAACUGAACCAAACCGGUAAACAACAUUUUCCUCUGUGUCAUCUGAAGUUGGUGAUGACCAAUAUGAAUCAAAAGUCACUCCACUUACCCAGGAGUUGUGCCCUUCACCCCAUGCCACGACCUUCCGAUCUUCCAUACUCCAAACUUGAACUAAAUCAUCUUCACCUCCAGUCAAAAUGUAUUUGCCAUCCAUGCUCCAAGCACAACAUAGUAGAGCACCAUAAUAACUUUUCCCACCACAAACUAGCUGUUCUCUGGAAUAAUCAAAAACUCGUAAAUAACCAUCUCUUCCAACAGUUGCUAAGUAUGCCCCAUCCAUUGAGAACGUGAUGCUAUUGAUUGAACCUUGGCAAAUAUGCCAUCUGGCAAUAGGAUUACUCUACAUAUAGUUUAUAAAAGUCAGAAAAUGAUACAUGGAGUUUGAAGCAGGAGAGUAAUUUUUCAACCCAGAUAAAUAUGCUUCCCUAAUGCUCGUGCAACCCAUCAUUAAUUACAAAAAUUAGCUAACCUGUUGCAGGGACAUCAAAAUAUCCCCGAAUACACAUCUUAUAGGAAACAAAUAAACAACACAAGCUUUAUUCCCCUACUAUAACCUACUUUGUCAGCAGCAAACAUGCAUGAGAUCCAUAUGCAAAAAAGACAAUAGCCAUACUUGGAAUGGCACCAUUCAUAUAAUGCAGAAAGGCAAGGACACGUACAGGAACAACUCAGAAAAGCAGCAACUCAAGCAAAUGUUGCCAUGUUCAUUAAAAAGAAAAGAGGGAAAAAAAGCACUCAACCACAAAUAGGUCAUAAAUGUAAUAGUUACUUCUUCAACACCAGCCAUACAUGAUUACCAUAGUUUUCAGAACCGGACUGGACUGCCCAGUCGGACCAGAUUAACAGUUCUCAAGAAAAAAUUGCUUUUGCAUUUCAGUAUAGAUUGCUCAAUGGCAAUUUGAAAUUAAUUUUAGGAAGCAUCGAUCACGAUAAGAACAUAAACAAAGUGUUUCUAUUUAAAACUAGACAUCAAGUGUUGUACCUUACUAUAACGCGCAUGUGCAACAGAAAAUAGAGUUAGAUCUUUGAUAAUGGGGAAUGAAGAAUCACCUGCACCAUCCUUGCUCUUCUCAUACACGUACACAUUCCCAUCGACAUGAGCAACAACAAAAGCACCAUCACCUCCAGGCACCCAUGCAAUACUCGUACAUCGACUGUUAUUAACAGAACCAUCUUUGUUAUAAUGCUGGGCCCCAACAAGCUUCUUUCCAACAUCCUGUAAUUGCUGUCUCAGUGACACUGAGUAGACAUCACCAGAACUCAACCCAAUAAGCAAAUCAUGUCCAUCCUUAGCAUCUUGAUCAAAGGCAUGGCAAACAGGAUUUGAAUUACUAAAAUGUAUUGAUUUUAUGGGAUCCUUAUCUUGAGAGUUUAAAUCACUUAUAAAGAUUGUGUCCCCCACAUUGAAAACCAAGUAAGUCCCUUUUCCAUCAAAAUUUGGAUUGAUCAUUGAACUACUUGAAGAACCCAAUGACCCAAUUCUACUACUGCCGCUAACACUUUUACUCCCACCAUUCCCUCCAACAAUGCUAAGAGCACGGCUUCCAUUGCUAGCCCCCAACAACCUGGCUGCAGCAGAUCUUACCCCACUGCUAGCAAUGAAGCUUGAAGGUGGGGCCGUAGGGGUUGAUGGGGCUGGCUUGUCCUUGAGAUUAGCGAGGGUUACCUGAGUAACGGUUUUGCCAUGGGCAUAAUGAAGCAGACCUGAAGGGUGUGUCUUCUCGUAUUGGAGCUUAUAACGCCCCUCCGGGGUUUUGAAAUAGGUCUUUAGGCCCGGUGACUGCGCGUUCCCCGGUGCCGAUGAGCUCGAAAUCAUGCCGUUGGUCGUAUUGAUCAUGGUUCCGCCUAUUACCAUAGAACCAAGAGCAUGUGAUCAUGACACAAUGGUUUGUACUCUCUUUUGGUUAAUUUUUGUGUUUUGAGGUGGUGGUCGGGAUUUUUCGAAGAGAAAGGUGUGUUUUUGCUCUGCUUUUUGCUAUGCUCUGAGCUCUUUUUCUGGGUCUUCAAUGGAAAGAUCAAAGGCGGGUUUGGAUCCUCUGAUUUGCGGCUUACAAAAACGUCG